UCGAGAAUCUUCCGCAAUGGGCGAAAGCCUGACGGAGCGACGCCGCGUGGAGGACGAAGGCCUUUGGGUUGUAAACUCCUGUCACGGGUUAUGAAUGCGCGUACGUUAAUAGCGUGCGUGUUGACGUCAGCCCGAGAGGAAGCACCGGCUAACUCUGUGCCAGCAGCCGCGGUAAUACAGAGGGUGCAAACGUUGUUCGGAAUCACUGGGCAUAAAGCGCGCGUAGGCGGCCUAGUCAGUGUGAAGUGAAAUCCCACGGCUCAACCGUGGAACUGCUUUGCAUACUGCUGGGCUCGAGGACGGUAGGGGAGAGCGGAACUCCUGGUGGAGCGGUGAAAUGCGUAGAUAUCAGGAGGAACACCGGUGGCGAAGGCGGCUCUCUGGUCCGUUUCUGACGCUGAGGUGCGAAAGCCAGGGUAGCGAACGGGAUUAGAUACCCCCGUAGUCC
rnacentral:rRNA from 1 species